UAGGGAAUCUUCCGCAAUGGACGCCAGUCUGACGGAGCAACGCCGCGUGAGUGAAGAAGGAUUUCGGUUCGUAAAACUCUGUUGUUAGAGAAGAACAGCGCAUAGAGUAACUGUUAUGCGUGUGACGGUAUCUAACCAGAAAGCCACGGCUAACUACGUGCCAGCAGCCGCGGUAAUACGUAGGUGGCAAGCGUUGUCCGGAUUUAUUGGGCGUAAAGCGAGCGCAGGCGGUCAAUUAAGUCUGAUGUGAAAGCCCCCGGCUCAACCGGGGAGGGUCAUUGGAAACUGGUUGACUUGAGUGCAGAAGAGGAGAGUGGAAUUCCAUGUGUAGCGGUGAAAUGCGUAGAUAUAUGGAGGAACACCGGUGGCGAAAGCGGCUCUCUGGUCUGUAACUGACGCUGAGGCUCGAAAGCGUGGGGAGCGAACAGG
rnacentral:rRNA from 1 species